rfam:Vibrio panuliri strain CAIM 703 CAIM703_21, whole genome shotgun sequence.
UGGUUAGAAUACCGGCCUGUCACGCCGGGGGUCGCGGGUUCGAGUCCCGUCCACUCCG